GUGGGGAAUAUUGCACAAUGGGGGAAACCCUGAUGCAGCGACGCCGCGUGGAGGAAGAAGGUCUUCGGAUUGUAAACUCCUGUUGUUGAGGAAGAUAAUGACGGUACUCAACAAGGAAGUGACGGCUAACUACGUGCCAGCAGCCGCGGUAAAACGUAGGUCACAAGCGUUGUCCGGAAUUACUGGGUGUAAAGGGAGCGCAGGCGGGAAGACAAGUUGGAAGUGAAAUCUAUGGGCUCAACCCAUAAACUGCUUUCAAAACUGUUUUUCUUGAGUAGUGCAGAGGUAGGCGGAAUUCCCGGUGUAGCGGUGGAAUGCGUAGAUAUCGGGAGGAACACCAGUGGCGAAGGCGGCCUACUGGGCACCAACUGACGCUGAGGCUCGAAAGUGUGGGUAGCAAACAGGAUUAGAUACCCGGGUAGUCC
rnacentral:rRNA from 1 species